rnacentral:rRNA from 1 species
UACGUAGGGUGCGAGCGUUAAUCGGAAUCACUGGGCGUAAAGGGCGCGUAGGCGGCCAUUCAAGUCGGGGGUGAAAGCCCAGGGCUCAACCCUGGAAUUGCCUUCGAUACUGUUUGGCUAGAGACCGGAAGAGGUAAGUGGAACUGCGAGUGUAGAGGUGAAAUUCGUAGAUAUUCGCAAGAACACCAGUGGCGAAGGCGGCUUACUGGUCCGGUUCUGACGCUGAGGCGCGAAAGCGUGGGGAGCAAACAGG